rnacentral:rRNA from 1 species
UACCCUGGACGGUGGAUCACUUGGCUCGCGGGUCGAUGAAGAACGCAGUUAACUGCGCGUCAUAGUGUGAACUGCAGGACACAUUUGAACAUCGACAUUUCGUUCUCGUCAUGAAGAAUGGUG